GAAGCAGGUGAGGAGGAGAGCCAAGCUGACAAGCAGGAGACCACAGCAGGCCUUCAGCACCUUCUUCUCCAGCCCAUCCUUUCUCCUGAAGCGUUCAUUGAAGCCCACCUAAUGGAGAGAAAGAGCAGUGUUGUGGGACCUUAGAGCAUGCUGAAUGAUGGCCAUGCAGGGAGAGAGAUUCUGGACCAGGGCUUUAGUGUGUAGCAGCCUUUCUGAUAAACGGGGUUCUCCCUCUGCCAGCCAAAGAUGUAAUCUACAGCUUAGAAGAAGCAAUCAGUAUGGCAGACGUGUGUUGCUAAGUUUGAAUAAAGACCCGUGCUAUGAAAAUUUUAACAAAACAAAGGGGUGGAGGGCCCCCUGAAAUAGGAAAGAAGGAGAGCGAGAAGAGAGAGUGAUGGCAUAGACUGUGGAAUCUGCUGGUUGUUCAAUGCUGGCCUUCUUGACAUUAGAACUCCUAUGAACUACAACAGCAAGCUCAAAGAUCCAGCUUCUUGGCAGACUCAUGCACAAAAGAGUGAAACUUACACAUAAACGUCACGCCAAAUGGAAGAAAGUUCACGGCAAAUGAGCUUCUACAGGAGUACCCUGGGCCGAUGCAUUUUCCUGCUAACAGGAGCACCAACCUGGGAUAUCAGGUAAGUUAUUAUAGUCACAGGGGAUACCUACCUACCAUUUGGCUCCCCCAGUAACUUUAACAGUAAUCUGUUAAUUUCAUAAAUUGAUGCUUGUAAUGUUUCCAAAUUUUCUUGCUGAUAACCCUCUUGGCUCUGUGUGACUUGCUGAACUCUACGCAGUUUGGCUUUUAGACAUAAAAUCGUCAGGUUAAUAAGCUUCAAUAAUGAGUCAGCCAUUAAACCUAGAAAUGUUUUUAUGGCCAAUGACUUAUAUUGCUUGUUCUGUCACUGUAUAAGACCGUGCAAUGACACCAGGCCAAGCAGGGAAAAUUUGUUGCGCUUAAUAUUUAUGUAUAGAAGAAUUCCUAAUACAUCAGUUAUGUGAUAGUCCCUGUAUUAAGAGUUUCUAUGGCAUCUUACUUAGAAGUAUCAAAGCAUUGCCACAGCAUUCCAUUGGCUAAUUGACUCCAGCCGCCAUAUUGUUUGUUUGUGACCUGAAAUCAUGCAUCUCUGUAUUGGUACAUUGUAUCAAAUCGAACAACUUACACAACAUGUAAUGUGCAUAGUCAGCAGGGACCUGUUUAUUCGGGCAGACACACGGAGCUAAAGAUCCCUCAUUAGUUUAUAGUCUCUGUUAACGACUUGUUUAUGAACUACAGAGAGUUUACAGUACGUGCCUUCCAUCUGCUGUUAUAAGUAACAGUGUUGUUUGACCUUUUCCACUUGUUUAUAAGGAAUCUUAUAAAAAAAAAAAAAAAAUAGUGGUCUGGAAAUGUUUUUCAUGGCUCUGUUUCCAGUUUAAGGUACAAUAAUGGUCCUGACAAAUUUUGGAGCAGGCCCUUUCACGUUUUAGCACAAUAAUGCCUGCAUGCAAAAGCCAAGUAUAUACAGAAAGGGUUAGCUGAGCGUGGAGUAAAAGAACCUGACUGGCCUGCAUAGAGUCCCAACCUCAACCCAAUACAACCCUUGUGGGAUGACUUGUUACCCUGACUGUGAGCCUGGCCUGAACCCCAACAUCAGUGACAGACCUCACUUAGGCUCUUGUUAGAAUAAAGAGCUAAAAAUAUCUGGAAUUUGUCUGAAUUGAAUCUGGGUUCCAAUGGUUGCUAAAUUUAAUUUGAGUUCCUAUGGCUGCUAAAUUUAAUCUGGGUUCCAAUGGUUGCUAAAUUUAAUCUGGGUUCCAAUGGUUGCUAAAUUUAAUCUGGGUUCCAAUGGUUGCUAAAUUUAAUCUGGGUUCCAAUGGUUGCUAAAUUUAAUCUGGUUUCCAAUGGCUGCUAAAUUUAAUUUGAGUUCCUAUGGCUGCUAAAUUUAAUCUGGGGUCCAAUGGUUGCUAAAUUUAAUCUGGGGUCCAAUGGUUGCUACAUGUAAUAUGUGUUCCAAUGGUUGCUAAAUUUAAUCUGGGGUCCAAUGGUUGCUAAAUUUAAUCUGGGGUCCAAUGGUUGCUACAUGUAAUCUGUGUUCCAAUGGUUGCUAAAUUUAAUCUGGGGUCCAAUGGUUGCUAUAUUUCAUCUGGGGUCCAAUGGUUGCUACAUUUAAUCUGGGGUUCAAUGGUUGCUAAAUUUAAUAUGGGUUCCAAUGGUUGCUAAAUUUAAUCUGGGUUCCAAUAGUUGCUAAAUUUAAUCUGGGUUCCAAUGGUUGCUAAAUUUAAUCUGGGUUCCAAUGGUUGCUAAAUUUAAUCUGGGUUCCAAUGGCUGCUAAAUUUAAUUUGAGUUCCUAUGGCUGCUAAAUUUAAUUUGAGUUCCUAUGGCUGCUAAAUUUAAUCUGGGUUCCAAUGGUUGCUAAAUUUAAUCUGGGUUCCAAUGGUUGCUAAAUUUAAUCUGGUUUCCAAUGGCUGCUAAAUUUAAUUUGAGUUCCUAUGGCUGCUAAAUUUAAUCUGGGGUCCAAUGGUUGCUAAAUUUAAUCUGGGGUCCAAUGGUUGCUACAUGUAAUCUGUGUUCCAAUGGUUGCUAAAUUUAAUCUGGGGUCCAAUGGUUGCUAUAUUUCAUCUGGGGUCCAAUGGUUGCUACAUUUAAUCUGGGGUUCAAUGGUUGCUAAAUUUAAUAUGGGUUCCAAUGGUUGCUAAAUUUAAUCUGGGUUCCAAUAGUUGCUAAAUUUAAUCUGGGUUCCAAUGGUUGCUAAAUUUAAUCUGGGUUCCAAUAGUUGCUAAAUUUAAUCUGGGUUCCAAUGGUUGCUAAAUUUAAUCUGGGUUCCAAUAGUUUCUAAAUUUAAUAUGGGUUCCAAUGGUUGCUAAAUUUAAUCUGGGUUCCAAUAGUUGCUAAAUUUAAUCUGGGUUCCAAUGGUUGCUAAAUUUAAUCUGGGUUCCAAUAGUUUCUAAAUUUAAUAUGGGUUCAAUGGUUGCUAAAUUUAAUCUGGGUUCCAAUAGUUGCUAAAUUUAAUCUGGGUUCCAAUAGUUUCUAAAUUUAAUCUGUGUUCCAAUGGUUGCUAAAUUUAAUCUGUGUUCCAAUGGUUGCUAAAUUUAAUCUGGGUUCCAAUAGUUGGUAAAUUUAAUAUGGGUUCCAAUGGUUGCUAAAUUGAAUCUGGGUUCCAAUAGUUGCUAAAUUGAAUCUGGGUUCCAAUGUUUGCUACAUUUCAUCUGGGGUCCAAUGGUUGCUACAUUUAAUCUGGGGUUCAUUGGUUGCUAAAUUUAAUAUGGGUUCCAAUGGUUGCUAUAUUUAAUCUGGGUUCCAAUGGUUGCUAAAUUUAAUCUGGGUUCCAAUAGUUGCUAAAUUUAAUAUGGGUUCCAAUGGUUGCUAAAUUUAAUCUGGGUUCCAAUAGUUGCUAAAUUUAAUCUGGGUUCCAAUGGUUGCUAUAUUUAAUCUGGGGUCCAAUGGUUGCUAAAUUUAAUCUGUGUUCCAAUGGUUGCUAAAUUUAAUCUGGAUUCCAAUAGUUGGUAAAUUUAAUAUGGGUUCCAAUGGUUGCUAAAUUGAAUCUGGGUUCCAAUAGUUGCUAAAUCGAAUCUGGGUUCAAAUUUUUGCUACAUUUCAUCUGGGGUCCAAUGGUUGCUACAUUUAAUCUGGGGUUCAUUGGUUGCUAAAUUUAAUCUGGGUUCCAAUGGUUGCUAUAUUUAAUCUGGGUUCCAAUGGUUGCUAAAUUUAAUUUGCCAGAACCCACAGAUUGCCAGUCCAGGCCUGCCCUACACUGAUACCCCCCCCCCCCCCCGGUACUUGUAGGGAAAGCAUUUAGCUGCUCUUCCAAAUAAUAUGUUUUGUUCUUGGAGUGACUACAUGUAGAAUUUAGUUUACCAAUAGCUAAUCUUUAUAUUCCCCCUGAGCUCUUUUCAUUGGGACCUUGAUUUGUUACCACCAUAAGUGGGGCAAGCUCCCCUUCAGUUGUUAUAAAGUGUGUGUCUCCUGUUUUAUUUUUUGUACAAGUGACAUUGCCUUUUGUCCAGGGGGACUGAUAGAAGCAUUGCACCAAGUCUUUUGGCAAUACAGAAAUGGCGGUGCAGCUUUGUGUGAACUACAGAAGUUAUAGACCUACUGCUCAGCCUAUGGAAACAUCAGUGCUGCCCUUGCUGGAUACAAAAAGGAGUAAAUGACCUGGCCUUGUGCCUUAUAAAUAAGGUGAUCUCUUGCCCCCGGGUGUUGGUGGCACUUAAUGGCAGAUAAAGAGCAUCCCUCAUUUUAUGGCAUUGUAUCAAACUACAGUGUAAAGAACUACAGUUUCUUUGCUUUUAAUGUCAUGACAACAACAAACUGUAAGUUUAAAUUUCCUUUAAUGCAGUCAUAUUGUGCUCUUGAUUUUAUGUGUGCAAAGGUACAAAAUAUGACAGUAUCUUACUGAAGAAUAAAAGGCAC